rnacentral:lncRNA from 1 species
CCCUCGCCUCCGCCUCCGUUUCGUCCGGAGCGCUUUCUUGAUUUCUGCUCUGGGCAAGCAUCUCUCCAGCUCUCGAUCUCUCUCUCUCUGCCUGUCUCUUGCUCACCACCCCCCACCCCUGCUGUCCUCUCCUGCCGCCUCCUCAUCUUCCCGGGGAGAGAGGGGGCCACGCUGCUGGAGGCAGACACAGCGAGGCAACGUGCUACCCAGGCCGGUAACCAAGGAAGUGGUUUCCUUAGCAACAGAACUGCAGGCCUGGGUUCCACGGGGUGUCCCUUAGCUGUUACAGGUAUGAACUCUAUUCGGACAGAAACCAUGCCUUCACCUCCGAACAAAGACUAGAUAAUGAACAAACAUUUAGCCAAUGGAAGAAUGAAUUGUUCAAUCACAUUUAACACUAUCUACCAACCUCAGCUCUCACAAACUUUGCAGUGAAUGGAUAGAAGGAUCCAGCUGCCUGGACAAUGGCUGAUAAGAAACGGAAAUGAAAACUACUCACAGCGACGAGAAGAGCUAAUGUUUAUGGAGAACUAGUUAUAUUCUGGAGUACUAGUUAUAGAUAUACUGUGCUAGAAGCUUCCCACGUAUAACGUCCCUGAGUCAUGACCAGGACCCUGGGAGGCAGAGACUCAGUCUCCCCCUUUUGCAAUCAGGGAACUGAGGGUCAGGGAAGAAAUCAUGGAGCAAGCCGCUCGGAGAAUCAGAGCCUCCACUCAAACCGCCACAAACUUUCAAACCCUGAUGAAGUCAACUCUGGACAAAAAUCAAAGCUUUGACCCCUAAUCCAAGACUUCCAACAGCCAGGACAACGCUUUGUGAAGAAAAUGACUUAAGAACUGAAUGUUUGCAUUUUAAGGAAAUGACAGGGCUCAGGUCUCGGGCUGACCACUGGGAUAGCCGAGUGGACACUUCAGUGACCACACUUGACAAGGAAUACAAUCUCUGUGGGAUAGGGGGUGGGGGAGUUUGGAAAAGUCACUAAACAGACAGGUGCAACCCCUGACCAUCAACAGGGGCAAACCUCAGGGAAGGGGGGGGAAAUCUGAUUUCCAGAGUUACCACAUCAUACUACUCGAAAUGCCCGGCUGU